rnacentral:rRNA from 1 species
GACGAACGCUGGCGGCGUGCCUAACACAUGCAAGUCGAACGGAGCUAUUGACUUCGGUUGAUAGCUUAGUGGCGAACGGGUGAGUAACGCGUGAGCAACCUGUCCUUCAGAGGGGGAUAACAACGAGAAAUCGUUGCUAAUACCGCAUAAGACCACACUGUCGCAUGGCAGAGGGUAAAAGGAGCAAUCCGCUGAUUGAGGGGCUCGCGUCCCAUUAGAUAGUAGGUGAGGUAACGGCUCACCUAGUCUGCGAUGGGUAGCCGAGCUGAGAGGCUGAACGGCCACACUGGAACUGAGACACGGUCCAGACUCCUACGGGAGGCAGCAGUGGGGAAUAUUGGGCAAUGGGCGAAAGCCUGACCCAGCAACGCCGCGUGAGGGAAGAAGGUCUUCGGAUUGUAAACCUCUGUUCUUGGUGACGAAAAAGAUGACGGUAGCCAAGGAGAAAGCCCCGGCUAACUACGUG